rnacentral:rRNA from 1 species
UUUCCUACGGGAGGCAGCAGUGAGGAAUAUUGGUCAAUGGGCGGGAGCCUGAACCAGCCAAGCCGCGUGAAGGAAGAAGGCGCCAGGCGUCGUAAACUUCUUUUGUCGGGGAACAAAGGGCGCCACGCGUGGCGUUGUGAGUGUACCCGAAGAAAAAGCAUCGGCUAACUCCGUGCCAGCAGCCGCGGUAAUACGGAGGAUGCGAGCGUUAUCCGGAUUUAUUGGGUUUAAAGGGUGCGUAGGCGGACUGUUAAGUCAGCGGUAAAAGCCCGGGGCUCAACCCCGGCGAGCCGUUGAAACUGGCU